rnacentral:rRNA from 1 species
GAUGAACGCUGGCGGCGUGCUUAACACAUGCAAGUCGAACGGAAAGGCCACAGCUUGCUGUGGUACUCGAGUGGCGAACGGGUGAGUAACACGUGGGUGAUCUGCCCUGUACUUCGGGAUAAGCUUGGGAAACUGGGUCUAAUACCGGAUAGGAAUCACAUGUGGGUGUGUGGUUGGAAAGCUUUUGCGGUAUGGGAUGAGCUCGCGGCCUAUCAGCUUGUUGGUGGGGUAAUGGCCUACCAAGGCGUCGACGGGUAGCCGGCCUGAGAGGGUGUACGGCCACAUUGGGACUGAGAUACGGCCCAGACUCCUACGGGAGGCAGCAGUGGGGAAUAUUGCACAAUGGGCGCAAGCCUGAUGCAGCGACGCCGCGUGGGGGAUGACGGCCUUCGGGUUGUAAACUCCUUUCGUCAGGGACGAAGCGAAAGUGACGGUACCUGGAGAAGAAGCACCGGCUAACUACGUG